rnacentral:rRNA from 1 species
UACGUAGGGUCCGAGCGUUGUCCGGAAUUAUUGGGCGUAAAGGGCUCGUAGGCGGUCUGUUGCGUCGGGAGUGAAAACUUACAGCUUAACUGUGAGCGUGCUUCCGAUACGGGCAGACUUGAGGUAUUCAGGGGAGAACGGAAUUCCUGGUGUAGCGGUGAAAUGCGCAGAUAUCAGGAGGAACACCGGUGGCGAAGGCGGGUCUCUGGGCAUGAUCUGACGCUGAGGAGCGAAAGUGUGGGGAGCGAACAGG